GACGAACGCUGGCGGCGUGCUUAACGCAUGCAAGUCGAACGGAAAGGCCCUGCUUUUGUGGGGUGCUCGAGUGGCGAACGGGUGAGUAACACGUGAGUAACCUGCCCUUGACUUUGGGAUAACUUCAGGAAACUGGGGCUAAUACCGGAUAGGAGCUCCUGCUGCAUGGUGGGGGUUGGAAAGUUUCGGCGGUUGGGGAUGGACUCGCGGCUUAUCAGCUUGUUGGUGGGGUAGUGGCUUACCAAGGCUUUGACGGGUAGCCGGCCUGAGAGGGUGACCGGCCACAUUGGGACUGAGAUGCGGCCCAGACUCCUACGGGAGGCAGCAGUGGGGAAUAUUGCACAAUGGGCGGAAGCCUGAUGCAGCAACGCCGCGUGCGGGAUGACGGCCUUCGGGUUGUAAACCGCUUUCGCCUGUGACGAAGCGUGAGUGACGGUAAUGGGUAAAGAAGCGCCGGCUAACUACGUG
rnacentral:rRNA from 1 species